CGCGUGGUUAUAUAGCUCCCCUCAAAGGAGAGCAAUUCUUCUUUAAGUGGAGUUCUGGCAGUCUGAAGAUUUGUUGUCCGGAAAGCACCAAAGGAGAGACACCAAUGACUAUCGAAAAAAGCGAUGUACGCCAUUUGACAGACCAUAGAGUGAUGUUCAAAGUGGAUACCAGUAACGCAAGGGAUGACCAGAUGAUUGUCACUUUUAUUUUGGAACAAAGCACAACAAAGGAGAUCCUGAUUACCAUGAACUUAACAGACGUCCCUUCGGUUCAAUCAG